rnacentral:ribozyme from 1 species
UGCUCAGCAACUCAUAUCCCUACCUCCGCGUGGUACCGGCUGGAAACUACGAGCAACCUUAGGGAAGAUCGGGUGUUCUCCAGGAGGAG